AUUGAACGCUAGCGGGAUGCUUUACACAUGCAAGUCGAACGGCAGCGCGGACUUCGGUCUGGCGGCGAGUGGCGAACGGGUGAGUAAUGUAUCGGAACGUGCCCAGUAGCGGGGGAUAACUACGCGAAAGCGUAGCUAAUACCGCAUACGCCCUACGGGGGAAAGCAGGGGAUCGUAAGACCUUGCACUAUUGGAGCGGCCGAUAUCGGAUUAGCUAGGUGGUGGGGUAACGGCUCACCAAGGCGACGAUCCGUAGCUGGUUUGAGAGGACGACCAGCCACACUGGGACUGAGACACGGCCCAGACUCCUACGGGAGGCAGCAGUGGGGAAUUUUGGACAAUGGGGGCAACCCUGAUCCAGCCAUCCCGCGUGUGCGAUGAAGGCCUUCGGGUUGUAAAGCACUUUUGGCAGGAAAGAAACGUCGCGGGCUAAUACCCCGUGGAACUGACGGUACCUGCAGAAUAAGCACCGGCUAACUACGUG
rnacentral:rRNA from 1 species